rnacentral:rRNA from 1 species
GACGAACGCUGGCGGCGUGCUUAACACAUGCAAGUCGAACGGAAAGGCCUGUCUGUUGUGGGGUGCUCGAGUGGCGAUCGUGUGAGUAACACGUGUGUAACCUGCCCUGUACGUGGGGAUAUCUGUAGGAAACUGGGGCUAAUACCGGAUAGGAGCUGUGGUGGCAUGGUGGGGGUUGGAAAGUUUCGGCGGUUGUUUAUGGACUCGCGGCUUAUCAGCUUGUUGGUGGGGUAGUGGCUUACCAAGGCUUUGACGGGUAGCCGGCCUGAGAGGGUGACCGGCCACAUUGGGACUGAGAUACGACCCAGACUCCACAGGGAGGCAGCAGUGGGGAAUAUUGCACAAUGGGCGGAAGCCUGAUGCAGCACAGCCGCGUGCGGGAUGACGGCCUUCGGGUUGUAACAAAAAAUCGCCUGUGACGAAGCGUGAGUGACGGUAAUGGGUAAAGAAGCACCGGCUAACUACGUG